CAGAUUGGGAAACUCAUCAAAUAAUAUGAAAUACCGAGUCCGAUUCUGUCUUUAAUGGCGGGCCUCGUCCGAAAGGAAGUCGAAAGACCGGAGGAUUACAGAGAAGAUGGAAAACUCAAAUCCUGACUAUCGGAGUUUCAUCGCACUCUUUGAUG
rnacentral:sRNA from 1 species